rnacentral:rRNA from 1 species
GCGAGCAGCGCGGCAGCGGUGGUGAGAUAACCUCCUGGGAAUACAUGCCUACGAGUCUGCCUUGACGUGGGGGAUAACGUACUGGAAACGGUACGCUAAUACCGCAUAACGUCGCUACAGGACCAAAGAGGGGGACCUUCGGGCCUCUUGCGCUAUCAGAUGAGCCCAGAUCGGAUUAGCUAGUUGGUGAGGUAACGGCUCACCAAGGCGACGAUCCCUAACUGGUCUGAGAGGAUGACCAGCCACACUGGAACUGAGACACGGUCCAGACUCCUACGGGAGGCAGCAGUGGGGAAUAUUGCACAAUGGGCGAAAGCCUGAUCCAGCCAUGCCGCGUGUAUGAAGAAGGCCUUCGGAUUGUAAAGCACUUUAAGCGGGGAGGAAGGGAUGUAAAGUUAAUACCUCUGCUCAUUUGACGUUACCCGACAGAAGAAGCACCGGCUAACUCCGUGCCAGCAGCCGCGGUAAUACAGAGGGUGCAAGCGUUAAUCGGAAUUACUGGGCGUAAAGCGCACGCAGGCGGUUCGAUUAAGUCAGAUGUGAAAUCCCCGGGCUCAACCUGGGAACUGCAUUCUGAUACUGAUCAGACUAGAGUAUCGUAGAGGGGGGUAGAAUUCCAGGUGUAGCUGGAGAAAUGCGUAGAGAUCUAGGAAGGAAUACCGGUGGAGAAAGCGACCCCCUGGACCAAGACUGACACUCAGGUGCCAAAGCAUGCGGAGCAAACAGGAUCUAGAUACCCUGGUAGUUCCACACCGUAAACAAUUGUACUCGACUUGGAGGAUGCCUGACCUCUGAGGCGUGGCCUCCGGAGCUAACGUGUGAAGUCGACCGCCUGGGCAGUACGAGCCGCAAGGUUAAAACUCAAAUGAAUUGACGGGGGCCCGCACAAGCGGCGGAGCAUGUCGUUUAAUUCGAUGCAACGACGUAACAACCUUACAACCGGUCUUGACAUCCACGUGAAGUGCUCAGAGAUGAGAAUGUGCUCUUCGAGAACAGUGUAGACACGUGCUGCAGGGCUAUCGUCAGCUCGUGUCGUGAAAAGUUGGGUUAAGUCCCGCAACGAACGCAACCCUUAUCCUCUGUUGCCAGCCGAUAUCGAUCGCGAACUCAAAGGAGACUGCCAGAGAUAAACUGGAGGAAGGUGCGGAUGACGUCAAGUCAUCAUGGCCCUUACGACCAGCUGCUACACACGUGCUACA